rnacentral:rRNA from 4 species
GACCUGAGAGGGUGAUCGGCCACACUGGAACUGAGACACGGUCCAGACUCCUACGGGAGGCAGCAGUAGGGAAUCUUCCGCAAUGGGCGAAAGCCUGACGGAGCAACGCCGCGUGAGUGAUGAAGGGUUUCGGCUCGUAAAACUCUGUUAUUAGGGAAGAACAAAUGUGUAAGUAACUGUGCACGUCUUGACGGUACCUAAUCAGAAAGCCACGGCUAACUACGUGCCAGCAGCCGCGGUAAUACGUAGGUGGCAAGCGUUAUCCGGAAUUAUUGGGCGUAAAGCGCGCGUAGGCGGUUUCUUAAGUCUGAUGUGAAAGCCCACGGCUCAACCGUGGAGGGUCAUUGGAAACUG